rnacentral:sRNA from 1 species
GCCAGGCUCGGUGGCGCACACCUGUAAUCCCAGCAACUCAGGAGGCUGAGGCAGGAGGAUGAGGAGUUCAAAGCCAGCCUCAG